CCUACGGGAGGCUGCAGUGGGGAAUAUUGGACAAUGGGGGCAACCCUGAUCCAGCCAUGCCGCGUGUGUGAAGAAGGCCCUCGGGUUGUAAAGCACUUUCAGUGAGGAAGAACGCCUGGUGGUUAAUACCCAUCAGGAAAGACAUCACUCACAGAAGAAGCACCGGCUAACUCCGUGCCAGCAGCCGCGGUAAUACGGAGGGUGCGAGCGUUAAUCGGAAUUACUGGGCGUAAAGCGCGCGUAGGUGGCUUGAUAAGCCGGUUGUGAAAGCCCCGGGCUCAACCUGGGAACGGCAUCCGGAACUGUCAAGCUAGAGUGCGGGAGAGGAAGGUAGAAUUCCCGGUGUAGCGGUGAAAUGCGUAGAGAUCGGGAGGAAUACCAGUGGCGAAGGCGGCCUUCUGGACUGACACUGACACUGAGGUGCGAAAGCGUGGGUAGCAAACAGGAUUAGAUACCCGAGUAGUC
rnacentral:rRNA from 1 species